rnacentral:pre_miRNA from 1 species
UCCCUCAGUGUUGAAACAAUCUCCGUUGAACCAUGUUACAGGAAGUUCACUGGAGUUUUGUUUCAACAUUGGAGGAA